AAGGCGGAAACCGAAAAGCCUUAAGAGUAGGUA
rfam:Roseivirga spongicola strain TST030701-084 contig_2, whole genome shotgun sequence.